rnacentral:sRNA from 1 species
CAUUACACAACAAAAAUAUGAGGGUGUGGUUUGCUGGCAACAGCGUCCGCCCCAAGUAUUUUUCACCCAUGUCUUUUGCGCACUUUUUGUUUCCUGGGCGAGUUCGCUCGCCACCAGGACCCCACCAUAAACCUUUUUUUAUGCAGUUGCAAUCAGCGUCAGUAUAAUAAUUCAAUUUAUUAAAACUUUCAACAACGGAUCUCUUGGUUCUGGCAUCGAUGAAGAACGCAGCGAAAUGCGAUACGUAGUGUGAAUUGCAGAAUUCAGUGAAUCAUCGAAUCUUUGAACGCACAUUGCGCCCUUUGGUAUUCCAAAGGGCAUGCCUGUUCGAGCGUCAUUUGUACCCUCAAGCUUUGCUUGGUGUUGGGCGUCUUUUUGUCUCUCCCCUUGUUGGGGGAGACUCGCCUUAAAACGAUUGGCAGCCGACCUACUGGUUUUCGGAGCGCAGCACAAAUUUGCGCCUUCCAAUCCACGGGGCGGCAUCCAGCAAGCCUUUGUUUUCUACAACAAAUCCACAUUUUGACCUCGGAUCAGGUAGGGAUACCCGCUGAACUUAAGCAUAUCAAUAA